AAUCAGCAGUCUCGACGAAUUGGAGCACGCCGCGUAGCAAGGCAUGCUGAUGUUGGCGCCACGCAAACGAUCUGAGUGCCCCGUGAUCUGAUUAUGCAGGAUUGAUCUCACACGCAUGAACGAUCUAAACAUGAUCUGACAGAUGAUAUCGAUCGCGAUAAAUAAUCCAGAUCAACGCGGGAUGGGUAUAAAUACUUCGCUUCAUAUGGGAAUCCAAACCCUAGCUACCAGCCCCGGCCGGAGAAGAAGAACCAGACGCUGGAGAGAGAGGCCGACUACCGACCGUCGCUGCACUGGAGCCAUCACCAGCCGCUAAAAAAGGUAAAAAAAAGUUUUUACCCGCUCAGAAUUCGAUUCAGAGC
rnacentral:lncRNA from 1 species